rnacentral:tRNA from 1 species
GCCCUUGUAGCUCAGGGGAUAGAGCGUCUGCCUCCGGAGCAGAAGGUCGCAAGUUCGAUUCUUGUCAAGGGCACCA